UGGGGAAUCUUGCACAAUGGGCGCAAGCCUGAUGCAGCCAUGCCGCGUGAAUGAUGAAGGCCUUAGGGUUGUAAAGUUCUUUCGGGAGGGACGAUAGUGACGGUACCUCCAGAAGAAGCCCCGGCUAACUUCGUGCCAGCAGCCGCGGUAAUACGAAGGGGGCUAGCGUUGUUCGGAAUUACUGGGCGUAAAGCGCGCGCAGGCGGUUCGAUAAGUCAGAGGUGAAAUCCCCGGGCUCAACCUGGGAAUGGCCUUUGAGACUGUCGGGCUUGAGGACGAGAGAGGUGAGUGGAAUUCCCAGUGUAGAGGUGAAAUUCGUAGAUAUUGGGAAGAACACCGGUGGCGAAGGCGGCUCACUGGCUCGUUUCUGACGCUGAGGCGCGAAAGCGUGGGGAGCAAA
rnacentral:rRNA from 1 species